rnacentral:piRNA from 1 species
UAAGGGCCAUGAUGGUUGGUUGUCCUUUUC